GAUGAACGCUGGCGGCGUGCCUAAUACAUGCAAGUCGAGCGAAUGGAUUAAGAGCUUGCUCUUAUGAAGUUAGCGGCGGACGGGUGAGUAACACGUGGGUAACAUGCCCAUAAGACUGGGAUAACACCGGGAAACCGGGGCUAAUACCGGAUAACAUUUUGAACCGCAUGGUUCGAAAUUGAAAGGCGGCUUCUGCUGACACUUAUGGAUGGACCUGCGCCGCAUUUGCUAGUUGGUGAGGUAACGGCUCACCAAGGCAACGAUGCGUAGCCGACCUGGGAGGGUGAUCGGCCACACGGGGACUGGGACACGGCCCAGACUCCUCCGGGAGGCAGCAGUAGGGAAUCUUCCGCAAUGGACUAAAUUCUGACGGAGCAACGCCGCGUGAAUGAUGAAGGCUUUCGGGUCGUAAAACUCUGUUGUUAGGGAAGAACAAGUGCUAGUUGAAUAAGCUGGCACAUUGACGGUACCGAACCAGAAAGCCACGGCUAACUACGUGCCAGCAGCCGCAGUAA
rnacentral:rRNA from 1 species